CUGGCUGAUGAGACUAAGGCGAAUGCGACUCUGUGCUCUCUGACCCUUGGCUUCUUGUUGGGGGGGGUGGGGAAUAUAGAUGGGAUCUGAAGUCUUAGUGGGGGUACCCGAGGCUGGCUCCCCACUGUAAUGCCAGAUCAAUAGCACUACUGGCCUUGCCUCCAUUUCUGCUGCUGCCCCCAGUUCCUGGCAGCAGUCUGCAGGGAGGCCCACAGGUGGGGCCCAAAGUAGGGCUGGGCACGAGCUAUCUGAGCACAACCUUGGAUCUGACA